GGGGAAUUUUCCGCAAUGGGCGAAAGCCUGACGGAGCAAUACCGCGUGAGGGAGGAAGGCUCUUGGGUUGUAAACCUCUUUUCUCAGGGAAGAAAAAAAUGACGGUACCUGAGGAAUAAGCAUCGGCUAACUCCGUGCCAGCAGCCGCGGUAAUACGGAGGAUGCAAGCGUUAUCCGGAAUGAUUGGGCGUAAAGCGUCCGCAGGUGGCUAUGUAAGUCUGCUGUUAAAGAGCAAGGCUCAACCUUGUAAAGGCAGUGGAAACUACAUGGCUAGAGUGCGUUCGGGGCAGAGGGAAUUCCUGGUGUAGCGGUGAAAUGCGUAGAGAUCAGGAAGAACACCGGUGGCGAAAGCGCUCUGCUAGGCCGCAACUGACACUGAGGGACGAAAGCUAGGGGAGCGAAUGGGAUUAGAUACCCCAGUAGUCCUAGCCGUAAACGAUGGAUACUAGGCGUGGCUUGUAUCGACCCGAGCCGUGCCGUAGCUAACGCGUUAAGUAUCCCGCCUGGGGAGUACGCACGCAAGUGUGAAACUCAAAGGAAUUGACGGGGGCCCGCACAAGCGGUGGAGUAUGUGGUUUAAUUCGAUGCAACGCGAAGAACCUUACCAAGGCUUGACAUGUCGCGAAUCCUGCUGAAAGGCGGGAGUGCCUUCGGGAGCGCGAACACAGGUGGUGCAUGGCUGUCGUCAGCUCGUGUCGUGAGAUGUUGGGUUAAGUCCCGCAACGAGCGCAACCCUCGUUUUUAGUUGCCAGCACUUAGGGUGGGCACUCUAGAGAGACUGCCGGUGACAAACCGGAGGAAGGUGGGGAUGACGUCAAGUCAGCAUGCCCCUUACGUCUUGGGCUACACACGUACUACAAUGCUACGGACAGAGGGCAGCAAGCUAGCGAUAGCAAGCUAAUCCCGGAAACCGUAGCUCAGUUCAGAUCGCAGGCUGCAACUCGCCUGCGUGAAGGAGGAAUCGCUAGUAAUCGCAGGUCAGCAUACUGCAGUGAAUUCGUUCCCGGGCCUUGUACACACCGCCCGUCACACCAUGGAAGCUGGUCACGCCCGAAGUCAUUACCCCAACCGCAAGGAGGGGGAUGCCUAAGGCAGGACUGGUGACUGGGGUGAAGUCGUAACAAGGUAGCCGUACCGGAAGGUGUGGCUGGAUCACCUCCU
rnacentral:rRNA from 1 species